UAGGGAAUCUUCCACAAUGGGCGAAAGCCUGAUGGAGCAACGCCGCGUGUGUGAUGAAGGGUUUCGGCUCGUAAACACUGUUGUAAGAGAAGAAUGACAUUGAGAGUAACUGUUCAAUGUGUGACGGUAUCUUACCAGAAAGGAACGGCUAAAUACGUGCUA
rnacentral:rRNA from 1 species